rnacentral:rRNA from 1 species
GACGAACGCUGGCGGCGUGCUUAACACAUGCAAGUCGAACGGAAAGGCCCUGCUUUUGUGGGGUGCUCGAGUGGCGAACGGGUGAGUAACACGUGAGUAACCUGCCCUUGACUUUGGGAUAACUUCAGGAAACUGGGGCUAAUACCGGAUAGGAGCUCCUGCUGCAUGGUGGGGGUUGGAAAGUUUCGGCGGUUGGGGAUGGACUCGCGGCUUAUCAGCUUGUUGGUGGGGUAGUGGCUUACCAAGGCUUUGACGGGUAGCCGGCCUGAGAGGGUGACCGGCCACAUUGGGACUGAGAUACGGCCCAGACUCCUACGGGAGGCAGCAGUGGGGAAUAUUGCACAAUGGGCGGAAGCAUGAUGCAGCAACGCCGCGUGCGGGACGACGGCCUUCGGGUUGUAAACCGCUUUCGCCUGUGACGAAGCGUGAGUGACGGUAAUGGGUAAAGAAGCACCGGCUAACUACGUG